CUGUGAAGGUGUCGGGGUUAAGUCCCUUAACCGAGCGAAACCCCUAUCACUAGUUGCCAGCGAGUCAUGUCGGGGACUCUAGUGAGACUGCCGGUGUCAAACCGGAGGAAGGUGGGGAUGACGUCAAGUCCUCAUGGCCCUUAUGCCCAGGGCUGCACACGUGCUACAAUGGCGUAUACAAAGCGACGCGAGACCGCAAGGUGGAGCAAAUCGCAUAAAGUACGCCCCAGUUCGGAUUGUGGUUCUGCAACUCGACCACAUGAAGUUGGAAUCGCUAGUAAUCGCGCAUCAGCUACGGCGCGGUGAAUGUGUUCCUGAGCCUU
rnacentral:rRNA from 1 species